AUUGAACGCUGGCGGCAGGCCUAACACAUGCAAGUCGAGCGGAUGAAGGGAGCUUGCUCCUGGAUUCAGCGGCGGACGGGUGAGUAAUGCCUAGGAAUCUGCCUGGUAGUGGGGGAUAACGUCCGGAAACGGGCGCUAAUACCGCAUACGUCCUGAAGGAGAAAGUGGGGGAUCUUCGGACCUCACGCUAUCAGAUGAGCCUAGGUCGGAUUAGCUAGUUGGUGGGGUAAAGGCCUACCAAGGCGACGAUCCGUAACUGGUCUGAGAGGAUGAUCAGUCACACUGGAACUGAGACACGGUCCAGACUCCUACGGGAGGCAGCAGUGGGGAAUAUUGGACAAUGGGCGAAAGCCUGAUCCAGCCAUGCCGCGUGUGUGAAGAAGGUCUUCGGAUUGUAAAGCACUUUAAGUUGGGAGGAAGGGCAGUAAGUCAAUACCUUGCUGUUUUGACGUUACCAACAGAAUAAGCACCGGCUAACUUCGUG
rnacentral:rRNA from 1 species